rnacentral:rRNA from 1 species
UACAGAGGGGGCAAGCGUUGUUCGGAAUUACUGGGCGUAAAGGGCGCGUAGGCGGCCUUCUAAGUCGAACGUGAAAUCCCCGGGCUCAACCCGGGAACUGCGUCCGAUACUGGAAGGCUUGAAUCCGGGAGAGGGAUGCGGAAUUCCAGGUGUAGCGGUGAAAUGCGUAGAUAUCUGGAGGAACACCGGUGGCGAAGGCGGGUCUCUGGGCAUCUCCUGACGCUGAGGCGCGAAAGCGUGGGGAGCAAACAGG